UGAAGCCUACUUGUUUGCUCAACUGGUUGACUUCAAGGAUAAUAAUCCAGACAAAGUUCCAGAAGAUAUCGAUUAUGCUCGGAUGUAUAAAGAUGUUAGAGCUGCAGUAGAUUUGUGUCACCGUGAUGGAACCUUGAAGCAAAUGGUUGCAAAAGAUCCCGAAAGAUACAUCAAUGUAGAUACGUCAAUUUUGCCUAUGCUUAAAAUGCUCAGAGAUUCUGGCCGUUCUACUUUCUUGGUGACAAACAGCUUAUGGG
rnacentral:misc_RNA from 1 species